UGCUAGUUGGAGAUCCUUUCAUUAAAUUAGUAGUUGGUAAACUCCCAAUACAGUUCCAGAUGUUCAAGAGCUUAACAGCGAAGAUGUCCGAGCAAAAUAUUGGUUUCAUAUUAAAGCUCCUGUCAAUAAACAACAGAUGAACCACGUCUAACUUUC